GACGAACGCUGGCGGCGUGCUUAACACAUGCAAGUCAAACGAUGAAGCUGGAGCUUGCUCUGGCGGAUUAGUGGCGAACGGGUGAGUAACACGUGAGAAAUCUGCCCUUGACUCUGGGAUAACUGCGGGAAACUGUAGCUAAUACCGGAUACUUUCCCUGGUGGGCAUCCACUGGGGAAGAAAGAAUUUCGGUCAAGGAUGAUCUCGCGGCCUAUCAGCUUGUUGGUGAGGUAAUGGCUCACCAAGGCGACGACGGGUAGCCGGCCUGAGAGGGUGACCGGCCACACUGGGACUGAGACACGGCCCAGACUCCUACGGGAGGCAGCAGUGGGGAAUAUUGCACAAUGGGCGCAAGCCUGAUGCAGCAACGCCGCGUGAGGGAUGAAGGCCUUCGGGCUGUAAACCUCUUUUAGCAGGGAAGAAGCGAAAGUGACGGUACCUGCAGAAAAAGCACCGGCUAACUACGUGCCAGCAGCCGCAGUAA
rnacentral:rRNA from 1 species